rnacentral:rRNA from 1 species
ACGGGUGAGUAAUGUCUGGGAAACUGCCUGAUGGAGGGGGAUAACUACUGGAAACGGUAGCUAAUACCGCAUAACGUCGCAAGACCAAAGAGGGGGACCUUCGGGCCUCUUGCCAUCAGAUGUGCCCAGAUGGGAUUAGCUAGUAGGUGGGGUAAUGGCUCACCUAGGCGACGAUCCCUAGCUGGUCUGAGAGGAUGACCAGCCACACUGGAACUGAGACACGGUCCAGACUCCUACGGGAGGCAGCAGUGGGGAAUAUUGCACAAUGGGCGCAAGCCUGAUGCAGCCAUGCCGCGUGUAUGAAGAAGGCCUUCGGGUUGUAAAGUACUUUCAGCGAGGAGGAAGGCAUAAAGGUUAAUAACCUUUGUGAUUGACGUUACUCGCAGAAGAAGCACCGGCUAACUCCGUGCCAGCAGCCGCGGUAAUACGGAGGGUGCAAGCGUUAAUCGGAAUUACUGGGCGUAAAGCGCACGCAGGCGGUCUGUCAAGUCGGAUGUGAAAUCCCCGGGCUCAACCUGGGAACUGCAUUCGAAACGGGCAGACUAGAGUCUUGUAGAGGGGGGUAGAAUUCCAGGUGUAGC